CUCAGGGCGCUCUGCGGGCCUCGGGCCGGGCAGGGCUCGCGGCAUCCCCGGGGCACCUGCCGGGCUCGGCCCGGCCCGGCCCCGCUCGGCACCGGCAGCGCCGCGAACAUGGCGGGCGCGCCGGGCCGCGGGCUCGGGGCUGCCGCGAUCGCGGCCCGCCGUGCCCCGGGACCCCCCCCGUGCCCCCGGCAGGAGCGGCCCGGGCCCGCCCGGAGCCGCCGCGGUGCCCCCGGGCCCGGGCCGGAGCGGCGGGGACGGGCGGCCGCAGCUGUCACCGCGCCCGGGAGGCCGCGGAGCGCCCGGGCAGGGCGGGCGGGCCCGCGGGGAGCUGGGGCGAGCAGAGCGGGGACAGCGGUGCCACCGCCGCUGUCACAGCUCGGUGGUCCGGCGGGUGUCACAUCCUCGGGGUCGGACGGGUGACAGGCGGUCCCGGUUGAACGGGUGUGAAAUGGUCGGUGGGUAAAUGGGGGAACGAGUGGUCAGUGGUCAAACGGGCGUGAAAUGGUCGGUGGUGAGGCGGGUGAUGAGUGGUUGGUGGUCAAAUGAAUGUCAAAUGGUCUCUGGUCAGACAGGUUGGUGGUCAGAUGAAUGUCAGGUAGGGGAGAAGGGGUCAGUGGUGAAACGGGUGUGGAAUGGUCAGUGGUCACAUGCAAUGGUCAGUGGUCAGAUGCAAUGGUCAGUGGUCAGAUGGAAUGGUCAGUGGUCACAUGCAAUGGUCAGUGGUCAAAUGGAAUGGUCAGUGGUCAGAUGGAAUGGUCAGUGGUCAGAUGCAAUGGUCAGUGGUCAAAUGGAAUGGUUAGUGGUCAGAUGCAAUGGUCAGUGGUCAGAUGCAAUGGUCAGUGGUCAAAUGGAACGGUCAGUGGUCAAAUGGAAUGGUCAGUGGUCAGAUGCAAUGGUCAGUGGUCAAAUGGAACGGUCAGUGGUCAGAUGCAAUGGUCAGUGGUCAGAUGCAAUGGUCAAUGGUUAAACGGGUGUGAAAUGGUCAGUGGUCGAACAAAUGGGGGACAAGGGGUCAGUGCUCAAAUGGGUGUGCAAUGGUCAGUGGUCAAAUGGAAUGGUCAGUGGCCAAACGGGUGACAAGUGGUUGGUGGUCAAAUGAAUGUCAAAUGGGGACAAGGGGUCAGUGGUCAAAUGGAAUGGUCAGUGGUCAAAUGGAAUGGUCAGUGGCCAAACAGGUGUGGAAUGGUCAGUGGCCAAAUGGGUGACAAGUAGUCAGUGGUGAAACGGUGCCAGGGUCUGUGCUCAGACUGCAGCUGUCAAAUCCUCGAGGUCAGACAGGUGUCAGAUGGUCCCUGGUCAAACAGGAGUGGUCAGUGGUCAAAUGGGUGUCAGAUGUUGGUGGUCAAAUGGGUGACAAGUGGUCAGUGGUCAAAUGGAUAUAAGCUGGUCAGUGGUCCAGCAGGUGACAGUGGUCAGUGGUCAGACGGGUCCAGGGGCUGUGCUCAGAGAGUCAAAUCUCUGAGACUGUCAAAUCCACUGGGGCCAGACAGGUAUUGGAUGGUCAGACAGGUGUGAAGUGGUCAGUGGCCACACAGGUGUCACACAGGUGUCACAGAGUCCCUGUUUGAGCAGGUGACAAGCCCUGGGUGGUCAGAGGCUGCAGGGGCUGUGCUGGGCCAGCAGCUGUCAGACCCUCGGUGCUCACACGGCCGAAGAUGGUCAGUGGCCAAGCAGGUGCCAGGCGGGCAGUGGCCAAAUGCCCGCUGCCAAGGGCACAAGCUGGGCUGGAGAAGAGCAGGGCUGGACUUUGAGAUGACCUCUGUGGUGGCCAGAGGCAGCUGAGUGGGUGUUUGACACCGUCCUGUGCCCCCGGGCUUGGCGACAGCCAGAAUAAAAUAAACCAACCAAAGUGCCUUUGACAGUUUGCCAGACAGUAACUUUCAAAAUGUAUUAAUCCUUUUGUAGCAAAUCACUUCUCUUUGUACUGGCAUCUGUCGCUGGCCAGGCAAUUUUGCACAGUUAAAUGCCUUGCCAGGAGUAAAAAAAAGAAAUAAAAAAUAAAAAUGGAGCAGGUUUGUGGGAAACUCGAGCGGACCUGAGUCCAAAACAACGCCGUGGUUGAGGUGCAGGGUUUGUGUUUGGUGAGAUGGAUCACCCCAAGCAUCCUUGGAUGUGUUGUGCAGCCUCUUUUUUAUCCCUGGGACCCGAACCUUUGAUGCUGAUUGUGUUUUUCUCCCUGGUGGAAUGUGGAUAUUGUUUGUUGACACGGGUUUCUGAUGUGGCGAGUUGUUGGUGUUGGCUUGUAACCACAGGAGUGUUCGUGGAUUGACUUCUUGUUUUUCUCACUUGUGCAAACAUUUUUUCUUUUGGGGUGGGGGGGAACCAACUGUACAGAAAUGUUUUCAAAAUAAAUAGGAUUAUUGGUAAAUUUCCCUCCUUCACCUCCCUGUGACAGGGACGCGGUGUUGUCGCAGAAAUUCAAUGUUUGUGGUUUAUUUCACUGAAGGAGGUUGGGGUGGUUCAGGCAGCAGCUGCACCAGUCCCAGUGCCACAGAAAUUUACAAGUAGGAAAUAUAAACUGUGCUGAGGCAUCUCCAACACACGGGGAUGUUUUGGUCUUUGACCAGGAAACAGAGUUUGUAACAAACCCCAGGCUGGGUUUUCUUAUUAACCUGGAAAUUGGGGUGAAGCCUGUCUGUUAUCCUUGGAAAUGGAGAUGAUGGAGGGUGAAGGGCUGCAAGGAUCAAGACCUGGAAAUUCUGUUUUAAUUAUUUAAGCAGCAGCAUUUGGGUGACAAUCCACUGCCUUGAGACAGCUCAGAGUGACUCUGUUGUGGGACUUUGUUUGCAUUUAUUUUCUGUGUCUUGUUCCCUUUGUGUUGGUGCCUCUCCGAACCUGAAAUAUUUGGGAAAAUGAGAGGAAAAUUCUGAAAGGAGAAGAAAAUUCUGACAGGUGAAUUUUGGCUGUCUUAGUGAGUGCUGAUGGUCAGUCUGGGCUUUGUGUUCAUCAUCUCAUCUGCAAACUGACUUUUUCUGGAAUCCUGGAGUAUCCCGAGCUGGGAGGGAUCAUCCAGCCCAGACACCCCAAAAUCCCACCCUGGGAACAUUGUCCAAACCCUCCUGGAGCUCCUGGGGCUGUGCCCAUCCCCUGGGCAGUGCCCAGAACCCUCAGGGGGCAGAACCCAAAUCCCCAAAAUCCCUCCCAGCUCCCUUGGCCCAGCUCCAUCCCGUUAAUUGUUGCAAACAGACAAUUCCAGCUGCUCUUGCCACAAACCAUAACAGAGCUGUGGCUCUGAUUUCUCCCUUCUGUGCCUGAAAAAUCUCCUCCAGAGCAGCUCUUGCCUGGAAGUGGAGCUGCAGGGACAUUUUGGGUGUCCCCGUGGUGCCAAGCUGGGAUUUGGGUUGGGCUGUCCCUAAAUCCCUGAUAUUUUUCCCCUGUGCAAUGUGAAGAACACUGGUUUUUUUGGGGUUUUUUUUUAGGAAAAAACAAAUGUUUUCCUGGAGGAUUGGAGGGAGCUGACUCCUUGCAGUGCUGCACAUGCUGUUGUAAUUAAGGCCCAGCCUUUCCUGGAUGCUGAAAUGAUGGAAUAAAUCAUGUGCUCACAAAGGCUGCAUGUGCUGAGAGCUCUCAGCUGGGCUGGGAUGGAGGCGGCUCCUGCAUGGGCCACGGCAUCCAGGGGGAUCCAGGGGAAUUCCAUGGGAUCCAGGGGAAUCCAGGGGAAUUCCAUGGAAUCCAGGGGAAUCCAGUGUAUUUCAGGGGAAUUCAAGGGAAUUCAGGGGAAUCCAGGGGAAUUCAGUGGGAUCCAAUGGAAUUCAGUGGAAUUCAGUGGAAUUCAGGGGAAUCCAAUGGAAUCCAGGGGAAUUCAAUGGAAUUCAGGGGAAUCCAGUGGAAUUCAGUGGAAUUCAGGGGAAAUCAGUGGAAUCCUGUGGGAUCCAGCGGAAUCCAAUGGAAUCCAGUGGAAUUCAGUGGAAUCCAGUGGAGUCCAGUGGAAUUCAAUGGAAUCCAGUGGAAUUCAGUGGAAUCCAAUGAAAUUCAAUGGAAUCCAGGGGAAUCCAGUGGAAUUCAGGGGAAAUCAGUGGAAUCCAGUGGAAUCCAAUGGAAAGCAAUGGAAUCUGGUGGAAUUCAGUGGAAUCCAGUGGAAUCCAGUGGGAUCCAUUGGUAACCAGCCGAAUUCCAUGGAAUCCAGUGGGAUCCAUUGGUAACCAGCUGAAUUCCAUGGAAUCCAGUGGGAUCCAUUGGUAACCAGCCGAAUUCCUUGGAAUCCAGUGGGAUCCAUUGGUAACCAGCCGAAUUCCAUGGAAUCCAGUGGGAUCCAUUGGUAACCAGCCGAAUUCCAUGGAAUCCAGUGGGAUCCAUUGGUAACCAGCUGAAUUCCAUGGAAUCCAGUGGGAUCCAUUGGUAACCAGCUGAAUUCCUUGGAAUCCAGUGGGAUCCAUUGGUAACCAGCUGAAUUCCAUGGAAUCCAGUGGGAUCCAUUGGUAACCAGCUGAAUUCCUUGGAAUCCAGUGGGAUCCAUUGGUAACCAGCUGAAUUCCAUGGAAUCCAGUGGGAUCCAUUGGUAACCAGCUGAAUUCCAUGGAAUCCAGUGGGAUCCAUUGGUAACCAGCUGAAUUCCAUGGGAUCCAGUGGGAUCCAUUGGUAACCAGCUGAAUUCCAUGGAAUCCAGUGGAAUCCAUUGGUAACCAGGUGAAUUCCGUGGGAUCCAGUGGGAUCCAUUGGUAACCAGCUGAAUUCCAUGGAAUCCAGUGGGAUCCAGUGGAUUUCAGCGGAACCCAGUGGGAUCCAAGCCCUGUGUUCUUUGCUCCUUUGGAGCUGUGGCAGGGUGACAUUCAUUCCCCUUCUGAGCUUUGCUUACAGUUUAAUUUAUUCCUUAAAUAAUUGAUUCAAUUUUAAAUUUAAUUUCAUAUUUUUUUUUCAAACCUGUUGCUCUGCCACUUUGCCCUGUGCCAGUUCUGACCCCCAAGGGACAGCUCUGCCUUUUCCCUCCUUUCCUGCUGCCCCCUCAUGCUGAUUUUGAGGUGCAUCCGUGCCCUGGCACAACCCUUGGGAUGGCUUCUGUGCCUUC